AGCAGACUCUGUGUCACAGCCUUAGUAACGUCCCCUUUUAGGACCAUGAGCACCACUUGUUUGCACUGGACACUGAAUUCUUGAUACUCUUCUUGGACUGCUUUUUUGUUUUUAUUUCCAACAGAGGUAACUAAUCAGGGCUUUACAGAUCAAGAAAGCCAACUAUGGUUCACCAAGAAAAAGCAGCAGCUUACCAUACGUGACUGUGCCCCAAGAUGCCAAGAAUGUCAAGAGUCUGCACUUUGGGGAUGGUUCCCUUAUGAUGCACACUCCAUCUGCCCGAGAGUCACAGAAUUCUGGAGACAGAAGGGCCCUCAGAGGUUCUCCAGCCCUUCCUUUACUAGUUGUGGCCUCUCAUCACUGGAUUCCUCCCUGCUGGUCACCUGGCCUGAGCCACUGCCUAGUCAUGGGGAGUCCACUUCCACCAUCAAAGACAUCUGGGAUUACUGAAGCCGCAGUCAGCCUCUCUGCAACUUCUUCCCAUUCAGCAAAGAUUUCCCUCGAUUCCCGUGGGUGUUUGGCAAACGGAAACGGAGCAGGCAUGGGAGGCAUCUCUCUCCAGGCACUCGGGGAUGCCUCUUACCAGCCACCCACCAGCAGCCUGUAGCUGGCAUCGCGGGGCUCAGCCACCCAAGCUGGACCAGCCUUGCUGGGCGCCAAGCACUCGUCCCUCUCUGUCCAUCUGGAAAAGGUUUGAAAGUUUGAAGCAGAAAAGGUCCCUUCUGCAUUUUAAAGGAUGUGGAAACUGAGUAGCCUGGGUGUUGGUCUGAUUCCAUGAGUGAGUAAUCCAUUUCCUGAAAGUAAACUGCUCACCCUUUGGAAGUGGACCAGGGAUUUUGGGGUGCCAUGUGAAGUGUCACUAACUGGGUAAAUAUUUACUGGCAGAAGCCACGGAACUUUUCUAGGAAUGUCAGUUAAUUUACUAAAUGAAUGACCCUUAAGGUGACAACCUAAAAAAAAGUUAACUUGUCUUUUAAUGGGUGAGCAUUUUAUGCCUGGGAUGGGGUAUUAGGAGGGAGGGUGCUUCUCUGACUAGUUAGAAUAACCACAUAUAAAUUAAAACCAGGCCUGACUUUAGAAUCUCUACCUUCUAACUUUUCUUGACUCCUGAUUUUCUAUUAAAAUCUGAGCCGAUGAUUGGUUGACUUUGGAAAACUCUGUUCUCUAUGCCAAUAAUUUGCCUGGAGUUUCAAAUGACAGGAUUUGAAAAAUGCCUUCUCUGGGAGUCUACUGGCUUCGGGGAUUCCAUAUAUCUGCCACUUACUAAAAGACUGUGCCCUUCUGGAUAUACCUAGAGUCAUGCCUCUCACUCUCCUGUGUGGAACAAUUUAGACUCUCCUGUGUGGAACAAUUUAGACUUCAAUCAGGUGGCUUGAAAAAGCCUCUUGCACUGAUGAAUAAAAAGGUGAUUUCUUUUUGGCUCAAAUGAUCACUUAAACAGUCUUUUCAAAAAGACUCCUGUGUCCCCUGCUUCAUGAAACAGGCAAUCUGCAGGAAGUAAUCUAAAUUUUCUGAUUAAAACUAUGCAGACAGAUGAGUGUUUUUGGAGCUCCGCUGGGAAGAGGAAGAGUUUGUAUGUGAGGCAGCCUCUGAUGUAGGAAUAAAUCAGGCUGAGAAGUGAUUCUCAGUGGAAGAAUCAUGGAAGUGAUGAAGUUGACAGAGAAAGGUCAUUCUGGAUUCCCAUCCUCAUGCUCAGUCUCCCGCCAGCGCUCAGUCUCUCUCAGGACGAGCCCUUUUAGUAGAGUUUGGGAAACAUAUGUGACUGUGUUGAGCUCGGGCACCCCCUCCAAGCAGUUUUCCGAGACAGAAAUGGAGGUUUCCCUGACUCUGCCCAAACGGAGUCGGGAUAUGUCCACUUGCGUCUGGUUUUAGGCCAACCGUACGGUAUCCUAGAAUCAGAUGCCAUCUACCUGCUGUUCCUUCCCUAACAGGGGUGCUCUGGGAAGGGGAUGACUCUGUGACUCCAAGAGAUGACAACCCUCCCUAGUGUGCUGGAGCCUGAGCCUGCAAAGGCCAGAGCAUCAGUACUCGCUUCUGUCCCUGGAGAACCAGGCAGGGUGCUCACUUGGGUAUACAGCUUCCCCUGGGAAGGCCCAUCUCUCACAGCACUACACAGCGGCUGGCAUGGAAGAAAACAAUAUGCUGGCUGCCAAGAACACAGGGUUGGUGGUCCACGUAGCCAGCAACGUUAAAAACAGUGUUUUCCUUGU